UCAAAUUGGGGGAAAGAAAAUAAGAAGAGAAAUGAAAAGAGAUAGUGAUGUGGGAUUGGUGUCUGUAUUUGAUCUGUUUUUUUUCGUCUUGCUUUCUGUAUUUUGUGCCAAUUACCGUCUAAG
rnacentral:ribozyme from 13 species